ACAUCAGAUAUUUUUUCUAGACACUUGAAAAUAUAACCAUGGGUACUUGGACGCAUCUUUGGACGCUGUUAUGUUCUUGCUUUUUUGCUUCACACACUACUCACUCGUUCAUCUUGACUCAGUCACCGGGACUCACACACGUCUCAGUCGGCGGUUCUGUAGAAUUAAGAUGUAUAUUUGAGCAGACCGUUAGGUACUGCUUUAAUGCUGCUGCGUGGGAAAAGUUGAAUCCGCGGACUGGAAAACUCACGACAGUGAAUACUAACCAUGAGAAUAAAGUUCGACAACAUGAUGAUAAAACUUGCGUUUUGACUCUUAAUAACUUAAGCCUGAAAGAUUCAGGCAUGUACUAUUGUAUCAGCCAUUAUAACCAAAUGGCUGUGAUCGGCAAUGGGAGCAGGGUGAUCGUAUCAGGUAGGCCUAAAUCUGGACUGAUUAUAUGUGACAUCUUGGCAUACAUUUUAUUUUCUUCAUUACAAUUCUCAGAUAUGCUGAUGACCAAAAAAUCCAGACGGCUCACGAGAAAAGAUGCCCAUCGCAAAAUUUCAUAUGGUAAACAGAGCACACUGAGAGAAGAGAGUUCACCUGUUUUGGUAAAUGAAGAUGGUGAACAUUGAAGUGGAUCAUUGGACACUGUAUGAAAGACUGUUUCUGCUGUUUCAAAACAACUAUUACUUAAAUAAUAAACUUUUAUGA